CAUGCGAAGUCCGAGCGCGAAAGGGGGGCAACCCCCGAGUAGAGCGGCGCACGGGUGAGUAACGCGGUGGGGUAAUCUACCUCCGGGCGGGGGAGUAACGACUCGAAAGGGUCGCUAAUACCGCAUGAGACCACGGGGUCUUCGGAUCCUGAGGCCAAAGGUGGCAUCGGCUUGCCGGUGCUGUCACCUGGAGAUGAGCCCGCGUCCGAUUAGCUAGUUGGCAGGGUAACGGCCUACCAAGGCUCCGAUCGGUAGCUGGUCUGAGAGGAUGGCCAGCCACACUGGAACUGGAACACGGUCCAGACUCCUACGGGAGGCAGCAGUGAGGAAUAUUGCGCAAUGGGGGGAAACCCUGACGCAGCAACGCCGCGUGGGUGAAGAAGGCCUUCGGGUCGUAAAGCCCUUUCGGACGGGACGAACGCUUUGCGGCGACAAACCGCGAAGCUUGACGGUACCGUAGGAAGAAGCACCGGCUAACUCCGUGCCAGCAGCCGCGGUAA
rnacentral:rRNA from 1 species